GGCGCCGCUCCCUGCCACCUCCACCACCGCCACCUCCCCUUCCCCCACCCUGUUGCCCGUCUGUUGAGGUUUGAGGGAGAGACGAUGGCGGCGGCUUCGCCGCUGCUGUCGCCGAAAUUUCAGAGAGGGGAGGUCGACGAGAUUUGGGGAGGGGGAGGAGAAGGCGGCCGGCGGAGAGGGAGUUGUGCUGGUGUGGAGGGAGAGAGGCGGAGGCGGAGGUGCCUCUGUUGACUGUUGCCCGUCUGUUGAGGUUUGAGGGAGAGACGAUGGCGGCGGCUUCGCCGCUGCUGUCGCCGAAAUUUCAGAGAGGGGGUCGAC
rnacentral:lncRNA from 1 species